rfam:Vibrio sp. JCM 19231 DNA, contig00008.
GCGCCCGUCUUUGGGGAGUAGCUUACCUUCCAAACAAGUUUUCAGGUUUGUACAUCAACAUAAUUGGUGCAAAAUCACCAUGGUGUGCAAGACCCAAGUCCUACGGCUGUUCUAGCCAGACUGGCGUUUAGCAAGACCAUAGACAAGUGUCGUGAACCUAGGUGGGGGAGCGAGGCUUGUUUAUGAGUAGCUUGUCCCCCGCCUA